rnacentral:tRNA from 2 species
GGCGCUUUGGCGGAGUGGUUAACGCGGCAGCCUGCUAAGCUGCUUCCUUCGGGAGCGUGUGUUCGAAUCACACAGGCGUCG